CGGAUCCGAAUCCAAAUAACAACUUGGUUAAUGAUAUAUUCCUAGCAUUCUUCCCACUUCGUCCUUUCCCUGCUGCUGAUACUGCUGCCGCUCCUGCUGCUCCAAUAUAAUGGCGAUGCCGCCGCUGUUGUGGGUUGUCGUCACCGUACUCCACCUCCUAGCUCUUGUAACACGGCCCGCGCUAUCGGACCCGAACGACGAGGCUUGCCUGUCCAACCUCCGGCGGUCGAUGACGGACCCGGGCAACAGGCUGUGCAACUGGACGGCGGCUACUUUCGUGGCAUCCUGCAACGGAUUCACCUCCUACCUCCACGGCGUCACCUGCAACAACGGGCGCGUUUACAAGCUCGCCCUUCCCGGCCUCACCCUGGGCGGCUCCCUCUCUCCCUACCUCGCCAACUGCACUAACCUCCAGUCUCUCGACCUCUCCUCCAACGCCCUGACCGGCCCCAUCCCCCCGCAGCUCUCCACCCUCCUCAACCUUGCCGUCCUCAACCUCUCCGCCAACCGCCUCUCCGGCACCAUCCCCCCGCAGCUCGCCCUCUGCGCCUACCUCAACUUCAUCGACCUCCACGCCAACCUCCUCUCCGGCACCAUUCCCGCCCAGCUCGGCCUCCUCGCCCGCCUCUCCGCCUUCGACGUCUCCUACAACCGCCUCGAGGGCCCCAUCCCCGCUCUGUUCGCCAACCGCUCCGACGACCUCGCAGUCCCACGCUUCAACGCCAGCUCCUUCGUCGGCAACCGGGGACUGUACGGGUACCCCCUGCCCCCGGAAAGAGGCGGCAGGGGGCUGUCGGUGCCCGCCAUCGUCGGGAUCGGGCUCGGCAGUGGGCUCCUCAGCCUGGUGCUCAGCUUCACCGCCGUCUGCUUCUGGCUCCGCGCCACCGAGCGCACCACCAAGACGCCCGGCGAGGAAGGGAAGGUCUCGCACCUCGACUACUGACCGGUUUCACCCCCUUCCUCCCCGUUCUGCCAUGAAUCCGCCGUAAAAAUCGCAUCUUUAUCUUCCCAUCCGCAUCUACGAAGAGUUAAAGGUUCCAUUGACAUCCAACGCCAAAACAAAGGAAGGAUUUAGACUAGGCACUCUUCUUGUCUUCGGAGGACAAGGUUUUGUUCCUUGGGGGUAGUGCUGGUUCCAAUAUCUUCCAAUGACCUGAAAAAGAGCAGAGUUGAGAAAAGAACACUGAUUGACUCAUAUUUUGAGUCUCAGUAAAUGAUGGUAGUCUGUUCCAUGCUCUGCUUGGCUAGUGUUGGUUCCAAUAUGUUGCAGUGAAGAGUUUUGGGCAGCACACUCAUCCACUGGUGAGUGUUUCAGAUUCUCUUAGAAGUGGGAAGCUUUAACUGUGUUUUGAUUUGAGCAGAGCAUCUGUCUUUGGGCUUUAAACAAAGUUAUUAGCUGUUUAAUUCUACGUGUUCUCUAGUUUUACUGUCUGAGUGGAGGAUACAUUUUUUAGGUGUACAUGAAAAAUUGACAUAAAUUUAUUGCGCCUUUUGUUC